UACGUAGGGGGCUAGCGUUGUCCGGAUUUAUUGGGCGUAAAGAGCGUGUAGGCGGCCAGGUAGGUCUGGUGUGAAAACUCGAGGCUUAACCUCGAGAUGUCAUCGGAAACCAUCUGGCUAGAGUCCGGAAGAGGAGAGUGGAAUUCCUGGUGUAGCGGUGAAAUGCGCAGAUAUCAGGAAGAACACCAAUGGCGAAAGCAGCUCGCUGGGACGGUACUGACGCUGAGACGCGAAAGCGUGGGGAGCGAACAGG
rnacentral:rRNA from 1 species